rnacentral:rRNA from 1 species
ACUCAAAUGAAUUGACGGGGACCCGCACAAGCGGUGGAGCAUGUGGUUUAAUUCGAUGCAACGCGAAGAACCUUACCUGGUCUUGACAUCCACGGAAGCCCGAAGAGAUUUGGGUGUGCCGCAAGGAACCGUGAGACAGGUGCUGCAUGGCUGUCGUCAGCUCGUGUCGUGAGAUGUUGGGUUAAGUCCCGCAACGAGCGCAACCCUUGUCCUUAGUUGCCAUCAUUAAGUUGGGAACUCUAAGGAGACCGCCGGUGACAAACCGGAGGAAGGUGGGGAUGACGUCAAGUCAUCAUGGCCUUUAUGACCAGGGCUACACACGUGCUACAAUGGCAGGUACAGAGGGAAGCCAACCCGCGAGGGGGAGCUAAUCCCAGAAAACCUGUCUUAGUCCGGAUUGGAGUCUGCAACUCGACUCCAUGAAGUUGGAAUCGCUAGUAAUCGCAGAUCAGCAUUGCUGCGGUGAAUACGUUCCCGGGUCUUGUACACACCGCCCGU